rnacentral:rRNA from 1 species
UAGGGAAUAUUAGAAAUGGACGAAAGUCUGAUCUAGCAACACCGCGUGUGCGAAGAAGGCCUUCGGGUCGUAAAGCACUUUUUGGAAGGAAUAGGAAGGAAUGUACUUCCAGAAUAAGUCUCGGCUAACUACGUGCCAGCAGCCGCGGUAACACGUAGGAGGCGAACGUUAUCCGGAUUUACUGGGCGUAAAGCGCGUGUAGGUGGUACUGUAAGUAGGGCGUGAAAGCUCCUGGCUCAACUGGGAGAGGCCGUUCUAAACUACAGAACUAGAGGAUGGUAGAGGGAGGUGGAAUUGCAGGUGUAGCGGUGGAAUGCGCAGAUAUCUGGAGGAACACCGGUGGCGAAGGCGGCCUCCAGGACCAUUCCUGACACUCAGACGCGAAAGCUAGGGUAGCAAACGG